GUUUUCUUAAAAACAGUCAAUGAUCUUACGGAAAGUAUUAUUCACUCUCAUCGACAAUUAAUUAAUGUACGAAGAUUUACCUCUGUUCAUCGAGUAAACGGCGAGGAAAGCAAUUUUUAAAAACAGGAUCUGAAAGCGAAAUGUGUAUUGAAAUCCGGUCGAAUUGCGACCCAUGAAAACCUGCUCGUUGUCAGAAUGACAAAUGAAGAAAGUGUUUCAGAAGCCUUGUAGCUGGUACUUAAAAGACUGUUGCGUUGGCUUUUUCUUCUGUGAAUAAACGAGAGUCGAAUUGAUAGGAAGAUGGGGAUUGCUCGAAGUGACAGCGUCAGGCAAACUCAACUGCAGUCUCUUUGGGAGUUUUAGAGAAAAGAUGACUUCUUUGAAAUGUAAAAUUUAUGUCUAACACGUUACAAUCAACACAUGGUUGUGCGUAUUAUUUAGCUGCAUAAAUAAUGAUUUUCCAGAGAGAAUAACGGACAAGGAAGUAAGUCAUAAUAAUGAACUGAAUCGAGUGGCACAAGACAAAUCCAAAUAUGAAAACAAUAACAUGGUAAAAUCAGACAACCGUGAUCAAAUUAGCAACUAUUUAGCGCUCAAACUCAUCAGGUGGCAACUAUACCCAGAUCGGCAUAAAGAAGGUGGAAGAUAAAAAAAAGAAGAAUCAAACUUACUUCGGCGGUGAAACGCACAAUGCAUAGCGGUAUAAACCCAGAGAGGUCUUCAAAAGGUAGCUUGUAGCCUACCGAAACGAUAGCGGAACAACUAGCACAGCUAAGAAAUUGCGGUCGCAAUAACAAUGUUAUCUCUUUUACAAGUUUCACGCUUGCAGACGAGAUUACACUGUAAAUGAGCGGAGUUCAAGUUCGGACAGACAAACAUGUUCAACACCUUAUACUCAAUAAAUAAAGAAGCCUCCACUUUGUUCUGUCCUAUUGUAAAGCAAGAAGAAAGUGGCU